rnacentral:SRP_RNA from 1 species
CCGUGCCGACCGGGGAAGCAGCGGCUCCCUGUAUCUGAAAUCCGCUAUAGGCAGAGGCAAUCGGACAUCUGAGGGCGUAUCCGAGCAUCGUCCGUUCCUAUUUUAAAGCUACGAGAGACCGGUCCCGCGCAACGCGACGCUGUGAACCAUGUCAGGCGGGGAACCGAGCAGCAUUAAGCGGCACUUUGCGUGUGCCGCGGCCAACCGGUCUUGAGCCGAAACGUGGGAAAACGGGUGUGAUGGUCGUUCGAACCUGUCCUGCACGG